UAGAGUUUUUGGGCCAGAGGCUUCCCCGAAACCGGGCUACCUCUCCCACCAUCUCAUCUCUCCUUCCCACCCUGUGUGACCCUGUGUCAGGCUGCCCGUGUGGCCACAGCCAUGCAUGCCAGCACAGCCACCCGUGCCAGCACAGCCACCCAUGCCAGCAGAGCCACCCAUGCAGCCGCACUCCCCUGCCCAGUGCACGCCUGCACAAACACGGGCGUUGGCAGCCCCAAGGUGGCAGGGAGAAGGCAGAGCCCCUGCUGGCAUGGCUGCCAAAAUAUUUUCACAGGACAAAUAUUCUUAACCCCUGGCAGCCUGGGUACUCUGAGCUCUAUAAGACUCAAGAACAUGACAAACCCCAAGCACACUCAAUCCUCAGUGGAGGGGAUGGAUAUGGAGGGCUGAAUGCCAGGCUGGGGGUGUCAGCCACAAUUUCCAUCGGCUUUCCUGGCUCCAGCAAAUGAAGAUCCUGCAGUGCCCAUCCAGAGAGGCUCACAAGUUACUGCUCACUCUGAGCAGCCAGACCGGUUUAGAACAAGACUGAGUGAAUGAGCACAGUGAGGCUGUAACAGGACACCAAGUGGGAUCACAGAGAAUGGGAGGUAAGGCGAUAGCUGCAGGGGGCUGUGGAUCCCAGCACAGCUUACUUAGGCACUUGUGGGCAUCAUAAUUUCUCAAAAAGUGGAUAAAUUAUGUGAGAGACUUACAUGGAUAAUAUACAAAUACCUAACAUCCUCUGCCCUGAUACUGUGUUAAUGCUAUCAGAGUCUGUUGUAAUUUGUGUUGUACAAUUUAAGAUUUGAUUUUCUCCCCCCAACUUUCUCUUCAUAUGCUGGAGGUUGCUUUUUGGUGUCUUGGCCUGUGCAUGCUGCACUGUGGAAUGUAGUGGGAUUAUCUCCUUGGUCUAUGUUGAGUACUUUUUCUUUUUCUUUCUCUUCAGCAUUUAGGAUAUUACCAUAGCCUACAUAUUUUUAGAGGAGAGUAUGUCUUGAUACAAUUGAUAUAAUUCCUAACUGAUUAACUAUAAAUUUAAUCUCAGCCAUUAAUAUUUUUACAGGAUGUAUCAGAAAUUGUAGAAAGCAAUUUUAAAAGACUCUUGUUUUGAGGCACUUCCAGCUUGUAAAUAAAAACCACUUUCUUCAGCUUUCCUAAAAAUAAUUUUUUUACUGUUAUCAGGCUAUUAAAACACAUUAUCUGCUUAUAAGGAAAAUAUUGCUCCAGGCUGUGUUGAGGUUAUUUAUUACUAACUACAUCCGUAUCUUUAUGUGUUUUGCAUACCUGCUGCUGCUCCAUGCUUGAGGUCCACAAAAAUGCAAAUAAAAUAAAACUUGCAGCUGCCAUCACUUGCUCCCCUGUAUUGGAAAAGCAGCCUCGUGUAACAGACUGGAAAUGACAGGAAAGGAUUUCCUGGAAGCAGAGAGCAAGACCCAGAGCAGAAGCAGAAGGGAACUGAUGGCUGGAUGGCAGGGAGAGAGAGAGACACACACAGUGAACUGCCUGAAGGUAGGAGACCUUCAAGGCUAUGAGCAUCUAGCUCAGAAUGGGCGAGUGAACUAACGAAAGUACAUUGACUGGGGAAAGAUAAAAUGCCUGAGUUUUCUACUCACUUGGCGUGCUGUAAGGUCAGUUUGUGUGCAUUGAUUUCAAAGGCAAUUCUCCUGUUUACACAGAGAUUGAUGAACAGGAUGGGCUUACAGUCCUGUUGCUUCUUGUGAUCCAAGUCCAUGAUUAAUUGAAAUAUCUUGUUAUCCAUUUAAGUCUCAGUGUGCAUAACUAAUUCAGAGUAGCAAACAACCAUCCUUAGUAUGUCAAUUCCAAUGGCUUAACAGUGGGAUUUUGAGUUGUAUCUUCUUUCUUUUUCCUUCAUGUUUUGGCUUUUCCUCUUCAUUUUAUAGCUGAGGUCUGCAUUAGCAAGCAAUCAAAAGUCCUUCAUUGGAUGCGAUGAUAUUUUUAUAGCAAAUCAUUCUUGUUCUUAAGGU